CCUCUAAGUGCCGCCACUCUCUCUCUCAUUUUCUCUCUCAAAAAUUUCCACCAUUGUUAAGCAUUUUCAACCUUUCAAAACUUGAUUCCACCCUAUAAACCCUAACAAAAGCCAUAAAAACCUCUUACUUGACCUUGAUAAGAAGAAUUGGAGGGAGAAAUUUAAAGAAUUUGGAGAAAGAAUUGAGGAUUUAGGAGCUCUAUAUAAGCUGAAAAAGACUUGGAAGCUCGGAGAGACUGAGUCAAGGCCUAGAGGCGACUCCAGUCAGAUAAGAGCAAGGAAAAAGCAGCAGAGUGAGCUGCGAUUAAACCGAGGAUUACAUUGAUCUUUUGUACGGGUAUUAUUUUAUGCCCUUGUAGAUAAAUUUUGAUGUAAAUAUGGAAAUGUUGUAUGUAUCAAUAUAAAGUCGAGCAGUUGUAAAUAAAUUGUAAUAAUAUUAUUUUGGAUUUUCUUCUGUAAAUUUAAUAUUUGUAUAUGUGAAUUUCCUGCUUUAUGUUUUGUGAAUGGAAUUAUUGAAUAU